UACGAAGGGGGCUAGCGUUGUUCGGAAUUACUGGGCGUAAAGCGCGCGUAGGCGGCGAUCUGUGUCAGAGGGGAAAUCCCGAGGCUCAACUUCGGAAUUGCCUUUGAAACGGGAUCGCUUGAGUCCGAGAGAGGAUGGCGGAAUUCCUAGUGUAGAGGUGAAAUUCGUAGAUAUUAGGAAGAACACCGGUGGCGAAGGCGGCUAUCUGGACGGUUUCUGACGCUAAGACGCGAAAGCGUGGGGAGCAAACAGG
rnacentral:rRNA from 1 species